UACGGAGGAUCCGAGCGUUAUCCGGAUUUAUUGGGUUUAAAGGGUGCGUAGGCGGGCAUUUAAGCCGGCGGUCAAAUGUCGGGGCUCAACCCCGGCCUGCCGUUGAAACUGGCAGUCUCGAGUUGGAGAGAAGUAUGCGGAAUGCGCGGUGUAGCGGUGAAAUGCAUAGAUAUCACGCAGAACCCCGAUUGCGAAGGCAGCAUACCGGCGCCCUACUGACGCUGAGGCACGAAAGUGCGGGUAUCGAACAGG
rnacentral:rRNA from 1 species